rnacentral:lncRNA from 1 species
AAACCACUAGGACAAGGCCUAGGGUCAAAGAAGGAGGAAUAAUCCAAAACAGAACAUGAAAAUUGACAAUAAUCAAGCUUAAUCAAUCAAGAACAAUAUCCAAGUGGUCUCAUGUCAAUAGCAUCAACCAAUUUCAUUUCACAAAUCAAUCAUGGCAAAGCAUGCAAGUUGAAAGCUCAUUGAAGCAAUAGAAUGAACAAAGGCAUAUUAAUUCCAGAAUGGUUCCAUAAAUCUCAAGAAAAAUCAUGGCUAAAGAGAACACAUCAA